rnacentral:misc_RNA from 1 species
GAUGAAGAACGUAGCGAAAUGCGAUACGUAGUGUGAAUUGCAGAAUUCAGUGAAUCAUCGAAUCUUUGAACGCACAUUGCACCUCUCGGUAUUCCGGGAGGUAUGCCUGUUAGAGCGUCAUUUGUACCCUCAAGCUCUGCUUGGUGUUGGGUGUUUGUUCCGCCUCUGUGUGUGAACUCGCCUCAAAACAAUUGGCAGCCGGCGUACUUGUUUCGGAGCGCAGCACAUUUUGCGAUCCAGAUCAACGUACAGCGGCAUCCAAGAAGCCUUAUUUAACGCUCUUGACCUCGGAUCAGGUAGGGAUACCCGCUGAACUUAAGCAUAUCAAUAAGCGGAGGA